AGCUUUGCUCAGUGGCAGUACUGUGGCCAGUGAGGUUUAUCCAAGGCACAAUUACUGCUAAUUGAAAACUUUUCCCUGUACUACAAUUUACAUGUUUUAAGUCAUUCUGUAGUUGUGAUGUAUUUGAUUCUGAUGAUGGGAGUCAG